rnacentral:lncRNA from 1 species
CCCCUGGUUUUUCUGAGACUUGUCAUUUCUAUAUUUCACAAUUUAAGGGCUCGUGGGAGCACCGUCUCUGGGCUCUCGUGGUUUCUCAAUGUCAUUUCUGUCGUCUCUCUAAGUCACAUUUGGACGGUGUCAGCUUCUUUUCUUGAGGAUCGCUUCGGCAUUGCUCUAUUUCCAUCUGAAGUUGAAUGUGGAUCUGCUGAAACCUGCCGUCACCUGGGGAUGAGGGAAAAGGAGUCCUACGUGUGCAGAGCUGUCACAGACCUUCAUACCCACGGUACCUUACCAGGGAGUGUCAGCACCAGCCACCGAGGUCGCCUUUCACAGGCAUGUGUGUCCUUUGCAAUCUGGGGAUUUGAGUGUCAUCUUACUUUGAAAGACUGUCUUGCUUUUUUGCCUCUAAUAUUUAUUCUGGGGGCUGUUUUGUUCUCUCUCUGAACCUCCAGAAGUCUUGUUGCCUCCCACACGGAUUAAUUCAGCUACACGGAAAAGGAGGGCGAGCUCAUCCUCCAUACACUCCAAUUAAUCAAUCAUCCUAGACCCCGGGAUCCGGGGUGAUGGCGUUCGUUGGAAAGAGCAGACGUGUUGCUGUCAGGCCUAGGACAUGGCGUCAAAUGACAGAAAGACCUGGGACCAGCAACUUGACUUUUUUUUCAAGCCUCGGUUUGCUGAUCCACAGCACCCAAGUCCUGAAGCUGGUGAGAAGACCAAAGGCAACCUAGGAGAAGACCCCAGGGCCAGC